GUUUCUUUAAUAUUUCUUUUAGUGUGGAUCUGCUGGUGAUGAAUUCUUUCAAAUUUUGUAUAGCUGAAAAAACCUUUAUUUUGCCCUUGUUUUUAAAAGGUAUUGUCACUGGAAGCAGAAAAGUCUAUAUUAUUUUGAGAAUAAAAAAGGCAUAAUUAAAAUGACUGUUCACAUGCGUCUAGAACUUAGCAUAUGCCAACAACUAUCUGAGCUAAGCAUUAUUAUUAUUUGCAUUGUACAGAUUUGGAGACUGAGGCCCAGAGAAAUUAAGUAAGUUGUCCAAUGCAGUACAACUAGUAAGUGGCAAAGUGACAUUCACAUAACUCUAGAGUCUCUAAUCUUAACCACAACAUUCCACUACCUAAAAAGCCAGAGGACAUGUGAAUACAUACUCUGGGAAAUGCCUCGUGUUUGUGUUACUGAGAAAAAAUCAAGUCAUUUGAGAGUCAUUCCAGACUCUUUCCAGGACAACGGUCUCAAGAGGAAACUUCCAGAGCCCUGUGAAUCCAUACAACUCCCUAGAGACAUGCUUACAGAGAAUACAGUCAACAAAGCUCCACAACACAGCAAGUUGGCCAAGGCCAGCCCAAAGUCAUUCCCAGAGCCUGAGAAAUGGUCUAUAAAGUCAGCUGCUCACAGUUGGGAUAGGGACUUAUGACAUAUAAAGGAGCCCUUCCCACAUAUCCCAAGAGACAUGGCCAAACCAGUAGUGGGAUGGGGAACAGAAGAUCUGAGUUUUCAUCCUGGCUUUAUCACUCUUUCUGGUGGUAUGAAUCUUGAAAAAUAAGUUUGCCUCCCUAAGCCUCAGUCCCCCUCUCUAUAAUAUGAUAAUAAUAAUACCUUUCCAUUGAACCCCUUUGGGUUUUCCUGGAGAACUGAGGAGAUAUGGAGUGAACACAUCUAAAAACCUUCUAAAUCACUCUCUUGUCAUCUGUUCCAGGAAGGCUCCCUGACUGCCACCUCCCUCAUGCUUCUCCAUCUAGAAGCAUCUUCUUUCAACUUUGAGAGCCGUUCUACGUCCCCUCUUUAAGUCAUCUAUCUCGGCCCAUCUCGUGUUAUAGUCAUUUAAAUUAUCUUAUACUUUCUACUCUACUGUUAGCUCCUUGAGAAUACAUCUAUAACUACCUCAUUGCUGUAUCUCCCCAAGGUGUCUUACACAGUGCUUCUCAUAUUUAGGAGCGGUUCACACACAAACAUGUGUUUAAUCAAUAAAAAGUUGUUGGAAUGAAUAUUAUUAGAAAUAACAUUGGACUGGACAUUUCAGAAAGACCCCCUUGGACCCAGCUGGCGAUGUUCACGAGAUUGUCCUUGAUGGGUUUAUGUUAUUAUCAUCCUUGUUGUUUUGAGGCAUUUAAAAAAAUUGAGCCACUUUUAUUGGUGUGCUUUGAGCCACUGUGCCCUGGCUCAAAGCUGUAUCUGAAAUAUACUCUAGUCCAUUCUAUGAUGCCCAGAGAAAGAUCAAGAACACCCUUCACCAACCUCUUCAUAGCUGAUAUCUCUUUCCAUAGAACAAAUACUGUGGGCCAUCUGGGCUUCCCUGUGGAUGGUAGCAUUUAUCUUCAUGUUAACAUCUAUGCCAAGUCUCAGCAGUGCAUCAGGCAAAUGCUGAAAUAGCUCCAUCUCUUCAUCCCUCUGCCGCUGUUCUAGUUCAAGCCCUCACUGUGUCAUUGGGAACUUCAUGAGCACCUUUGAACUGGCUUUCCUUUCUCCAGGCCUGCAACUUUCAAUCUACCCUCCACCAUGCCUCCCAGUGAUCCUGCUCAAAGCAGAUUGAGAGGUAAUUUGGGUUCCUUACCCAAUUCUAAAGUGUGAAAGGGGAGGAGAUUUCCCCUACACCACCAAGCAACUCAAUUCCACUCAAAUCUGACACUAUCUACCUGGAGAUAGUCAGCUUCUACAGGCUGAGGGCUCAAUCCUACACUCCCACUUCAGAAGCCGAUGGCAAGUCCAGGUUGUCCCCUGUGCUUCUGACCAACUGGCAAUAGAUUGGAGGUUCCAACAACCCCCUCCAACUCAGGAUGCCAAUCACAAUUCCAGGUUGUUACUUGUACUUAUGGCUGACUGGUUAUAAAUCAGAGGUUCCCGCCACUUCCUCCUUGGGUUUGAUUAAUUUGAUAGAACAGCUCACAGACGUCAGAGAAACAUUUUACCUACUAGAUCACUGGUUUAUUAUAAAGGGAUAUAACUCAGGAACAGCUAGUUGGAAGAGAUGCAUAGAGCAGGGUAUAGGGAAGGGGCUCCAAGCUUGCAUGCUUUCUCUGAGCACAGCACUCUCCCCAAAUCUUCACAUGUUCACCAACUGGGAAGUUCUCUCAACCCCAUCCUUCGGAUUUUUAUGGAGGCCUCAUUGAAUAGGCACCAUUAAUUAAAUCAUUGGCCACUGGUGAUUGAUUCAACCUCUAACCCCUUUUCCCUCCCUGGAAGUCAGGAGGUGGAACAGAAAGUUCCAACCCUCUAAUCACCUAGUUGGUUCCCCUGGCAACUAGCUCCCAUCUUAGGGAGGAUCCAAAAGUCACCUCAUUAACAUAACAAAAAAGCAUCUUUAUCUUUCUGGUUGCUUAGGAAAUUCCAAGCGUUUUAGGAGUUCUGUACCAGAAACAAGGAUAAAGACCAAAUACAUAUUUCUUAUAAUACAUCACAAUGUCACAAGAGGCCGUAGUACAUAGAGUUGGAGACAAGAAGUCAGACAGACUUGGCUGUGAAUCCAGACGGUUACUCUCUGGAUAUUUGACCUUGGGGAAGAACUUUUGUCUCCUCCCCUCCAUUCCUCCUCUGUUGUGAGCAUUAUAUGAGACAUUACAUGAAAAUCUCUUAGCACUGUGCCUGGUGUAUGGUUUAAUUCUUAAAUUGAAAUGGUGGUUACUAAUUCUUAUCGUUGUCAAAAUGAAAUGUAUGUGGCUUUGGAUAAGUCACAUUUGGUCCUUGAACUUCAAUAUCCCCAUUUGAAAAAUAAAUACAUUAUUUAGGAUCCCGUUUAGCUCCAACAGUUGAUAAUUCUAUGAAUGGAUUACUAAUUUAAUGAUGUGUAUUAAAAUUUAGAUUUAGGGUUCUCAGGAAAACUGUAUAGUUUUUUGACUUCUGAUGUUCCAGAAAUCGCUCUAGUGCUUAACAGCUGCACACUGAGAAAUCAGGGUUUGGUGGGGAGGAAUGUGUCCAUCUUGGCUCAGCAGCCUCUCCCAUCAGCAGUUCCGGGGCUGACUGGAUAAACACCGCUUCUUCAGAGCUCUGUGCAUUGAGAAUGGUUGGGGAGGCUCCCAGCCCCUUCUGGCAGUGUGAUCUUAAGCCAUGCUCUUGACUUUGCAGAACUUUUAUACUUCAUGCUAAUCCUUAGACAAUCUCCAAGACCCUUCCAAGCAUAGUCUUAGUUCUAAGGGGGCAUUUCCCAGUGUAUGGCUGAUACACACUAAUGAAAAGAGAGCUGGUUGAGUGAAGAUGGGGCUGGAUGGAUGAUAUUGGGUAGAGUGGCACACUCUUUUUUUCACAUGUUCUGUGCAAGUAGCAUGGUAUACAACAAAGGGCACUGCGUCUGCACCCGCGCCACCUGGAUGGAUGGACACAGCUCUAAGAACUUGAGCAUCCCGUGCCUGGGCCUGUUUGCUCUUCACAUAAUUUGCUCUUCAGCUUACCAUUUGGUGCUAUAAAAAUGAGGAAUAUUAUUGCUGUUGUUAUUUUUCUGAAUAUUUCAGGAUUCUGCACACGGAUACAAUGAAAACGUUGUAUACCACACACUGAAAAAUGAAAUACACCAAAAAAGCUUUUUGCACCAAGUGAGAAUUUAGAACAGGAAUUAUUUAUAAAAACAGGCAUAGCUACUGGGCAUGUUUUGGUCUACAAUUAAAUUCUCUUUAAACUCUGGCUCCAUGGUGCAAUGGUUUUGGAAUUAGUAAUAAUAAAACAUUGGUUGCACCAGUGAGUAAUGGUUUUAUUUAAAACAGUAUGAAAAUGUCAACCCAGUGGUGCCCAGAACCAAACAUAAGACUUCUAAGUGGCUACCCUCAUGAAAGUCAGAGGCCAUGGUCAUUGCUGUUAACCUUUAGGUGGGUGGUUGAGUGCACACCACAGCCUGCAUUUCACCUCGCUGUUUUAUUUGUACUCAAAACCUUUCUGGGAGUACUUAACAUCAACUUUUUUACCAGCAGAGAAACUCGGGUUCAGAAAAAUUGAUUUGGUCAAAGCCACACAGCUUGUAGGGGGUGACAGAUCUGGAAGGUCAUGAGGCAGUACUGACCAGCAGAGAGUCCAGGGUCCGACAUCGGGUGUUAGCCUGUGUGGGUUCCUACGUGUGAAGAGGGACGAUGCCUACACCAUGAAGACGAAGUGUGUUCAGUGCUUAGUCCAUGGCAGAGCACUUACUUAAGAAACUUAAGAAGCCAGGUUAGCAGCAUUAUCACCCGAGAGCUUGCUGGAGUCGCACAUUCUCUGAAGUCUGCGCUAGACCUACUGAAUGAGAACGCGGUGUGUGGGGCCCAGCCGUCUGUGCUUCCCCAGGCAAUUCAGAUGCACUCAAAGUGUGAAACCCACUGUUCUGGUGAAACAACGGAAAAGAAAGGUGAGGACGUGAGCAUUCCACUUUGCCUCUUGCCUAGCACAGUGACAACCUCCCAAGUUUUUGUUAAAGGCUGCGGCUUGCUCCCAG
ensembl:lncRNA